GACGAACGCUGGCGGCGUGCCUAACACAUGCAAGUCGAGCGAGGAACUUCGGUUCCUAGCGGCGGACGGGUGAGUAACACGUGGGCAACCUGCCUUGUAGAGGGGGAUAGCCUUCCGAAAGGAAGAUUAAUACCGCAUAACAUCACGAAAUCGCAUGGUUUUGUGAUCAAAGAGCAAUCCGCUACAAGAUGGGCCCGCGGCGCAUUAGCUAGUUGGUGAGGUAACGGCUCACCAAGGCGACGAUGCGUAGCCGACCUGAGAGGGUGAUCGGCCACAUUGGAACUGAGAAACGGUCCAGACUCCUACGGGAGGCAGCAGUGGGGAAUAUUGCACAAUGGGGGAAACCCUGAUGCAGCAACGCCGCGUGAGUGAUGAAGGCCUUCGGGUUGUAAAGCUCUGUCUUCAGGGACGAUAAUGACGGUACCUGAGGAGGAAGCCACGGCUAACUACGUGCCAGCAGCCGCAGUAACAC
rnacentral:rRNA from 1 species